ACAAAAUCAAGGUGGAAUCAGGAAUUCCCCAGGGCAGCUGUUUGGCACCUUCUUUUUUCAAUCUUUACCAACAACAUGCCAAUGACAUUUGAGUAAAGCCAGUGAGUCUAUGUAUGUGGAUGACUCAACACUGUACACGUCAGCUACUACAGCGACUGAAAUGACUGCAACACUUAACAUAGAGCUGCAGUUAGUUUCAGAAUGGGUGUCAAGGAAUAAGUUAGUCCUCUAAAUAUUUCCAAAACUUAAAAGCGUUUUUAUUUUGGACAAAUCACUCACUAAACCCUUAAACCUCAACUACCUCUCGUAUUGAGUAAUGAGUCAUGUGGAAAUUGAGCAAGUUGAGCUGACUAAACUGCUUGUAGCGUGAAACUGAAACAGUAACUCAGGCCACUUUAAUAAUGUUUACAUAUCUUACAUUACUCCCUCUAUCACAUGUAUCACAUGAUAUAUACUGCAUUUUAUACCACCGGUGAGGAAGAGUCAAAGCAGAGCAACCAGGAAGUAAUUACCACUAGGAAACCAGUAGGCGGCGCAGUAACUCACUGCUCUCUGACAUCUUGUCAAUUAUAUCAUCUUUGUCAAGUCAGGAAGUAAUUACCGCCUGUUGAUGAAGCGUCCUAGCAUAGCAGAGCAACCAGGAAGUAAUUACCACUAGGAAACCAGUAGGCGGCGCAGUAACUCACUGCUCUCUGACAUCUUGUCAAUUAUAUCAUCUUUGUCAAGUCAGGAAGUAAUUGCCGCUGGUAACAAUAUGAUUGUCGGCCAUGUUUUCUCGAGUUAUAUGCAGCUUCGUGUGUCUUGUGUCCUCUGUAGCUGAGCCCACAUUUACCAACAACUUUAACUACAUCCAUCACACGUUCCGUGACCUGCCUGCCUCCUCUUUCUGACCUGGUCUCGUUGAACUGACAUUAUCACUCAGAAGGGUACGGAUGUCUGCUCUGCUCUGAGGGAAAAAGGCUUCUGUCCUUUCUCUAUGGGUCUUCUCUCAUGUUCCUGUCCUCUCUGAUGGGCGUGUUUCCAGGCCUCCUUUCUCUAUGGGUCUUCUCUCAUGUUCCUGUCUCUGAUGGGAGUGUUUCCAGGCCUCCUUUCUCUAUGGGUCUUCUCUCAUGUUCCUGUCCUCUCUGAUGGGCGUGUUUCCAGGCCUCCUUUCUCUAUGGGUCUUCUCUCAUGUUCCUGUCCUCUCUGAUGGGCGUGUUUCCAGGCCUCCUUUCUCUAUGGGUCUUCUCUCAUGUUCCUGUCCUCUCUGAUGGGCGUGUUUCCAGGCCUCCUUUCUCUAUGGGUCUUCUCUCAUGUUCCUGUCCUCUCUGAUGGGCGUGUUUCCAGGCCUCCUUUCUCUAUGGGUCUUCUCUCAUGUUCCUGUCCUCUCUGAUGGGCGUGUUUCCAGGCCUCCUUUCUCUAUGGGUCUUCUCUCAUGUUCCUGUCCUCUCUGAUGGGCGUGUUUCCAGGCCUCCUUUCUCUAUGGGUCUUCUCUCAUGUUCCUGUCCUCUCUGAUGGGCGUGUUUCCAGGCCUCCUUUCUCUAUGGGUCUUCUCUCAUGUUCCUGUCCUCUCUGAUGGGCGUGUUUCCAGGCCUCCUUUCUCUAUGGGUCUUCUCUCAUGUUCCUGUCCUCUCUGAUGGGCGUGUUUCCAGGCCUC